rnacentral:misc_RNA from 1 species
AUUGGUAUGAGAAGCUUCCAGGAAUAACCUGUGUAUAAGGCGCAAGCCCUUUACACUAGGAUAUCUUCUGGCAAAUUUUGGAGGGAGGGUCUUCGGACUCUCUUUUUUUUUUUAUUUUUUU